GUGUCAGCCGCCGCGGUAAUACCGGCAGCCCGAGUGAUGGCCGAUUUUAUUGGGCCUAAAGCGUCCGUAGCUGGCUGCGCAAGUCCAUCGGAAAAUCCACCCGGUCAACGGGUGGGCGUCCGGUGGAAACUGCGUGGCUUGGGUCCGGAAGGCGCGACGGGUACGUCCGGGGUAGGAGUGAAAUCCCGUAAUCCUGGUCGGACCGCCGAUGGCGAAAGCACGUCGCGAGGACGGAUCCGACAGUGAGGGACGAAAGCCAGGGUCUCGAACCGGAUUAGAAACCCCCGUAGUCC
rnacentral:rRNA from 1 species